rnacentral:sRNA from 1 species
UGGUGAUCAGAGGCAAUAACAUGUUGGGGGGGAUGAAGCCUGGUCCGAGGA